ensembl:lncRNA
GGAGGGCAUGUAGGUGAGAGGUUGACGGGGGCUAAGGUGGCAUGUAGGUGAGAGGUUGACGGGGGCUAAGGUGGCAUGUAGGUGAGAGGUUGACGGGGGCUAAGGUGGCAUGUAGGUGAGAGGUUGACGGGGGCUAAGGUGGCAUGCGGUGGAGGUACUACCUGUCCGUGAUUUACAGUUUCCUCUUCUCAUUUUAAAACAGGAAGUUGUGUCAGCCCUGUCGGUGGUUUACUUCAUUCAUUUUAUUUGAUAAGAUAUCUAGAUAGGGAGAUGGAUAGUUGUCAUGGCGGCUGUGAAUUUAUUGGUGUAUGGGUUUGCAUCUGUGUGUGAAAUUUGAAUGCCAUUUUCAUCUGCAAACAUACAUGGUAGUGCUUUCCAAUAUGUUUUGCUACUCGUACUAUAUGAUAAUAACAGGACAUUGAAAUUAAGCAUACUAUUUAUUAACUUCAAGGAAAAGAUGAAGUUGUCAGAAGGUUGAAAAUGCAGUCUUAUUACCUGAGUGUUCUCCAUCCUAUUAAGCCAAUAUGCUCCACUGGCCAGUUAGCCAGUGCUGAGGUGGCACACAGAGUUCACAGUACACUCACUACACCCCAGGUAGACGCUGCCUCUAAAGUCAGAUAAACAAAACUGAUCGUUCAACAGUUUUAGGGGCAAUGUCUGUCUGUUCUACUCUUAUGUUCUAUUGCUGCCAAGUCAGAUGAUUUCCAAAACUGAUCCUAUUUCAGUUUUAAGGACAACUUUUUACCACUUUUACAUAUUUUACUUGUUGGGACUAUCUACACUUCUAUGUUCUAUUGCUGCCAAGUUAAUCAUAGAAAUAGAAAGCAUAGAAUGGACACCUGUAUCAGAGAUUGAAAUGUACAAACAACUAUGAUUGGCUGUUUUGUUGGCAUGCAAUCAGAAUCAGCAUGAGUGAAGUCUGUUCUAUGCAUUCCAUUUCUAUGGUGUCCUCUUAUGUGCUGUCCAGUUGCCUAUAACCUGAGUCGGCUGUAAUUGGAGUAAGUCCCUAUAUAUGCUGUUUUGUUCUACUUUGAAAAUGAAAUGGUGUUUUUGGCUGAGUGUGAACAGUGACUAACAGAAGGUUAUUUAUUUGUAAAGCAUUUAUAAACGCAUCAGUGCAUGCAAUUAAGUUAUUUGAUAAUAAUAAUGUGAAAUUCUAUUUGUGCCGUGUUUCAGUAUGGUAAGUUAUUUUUAUCUUCUUGUUUCAAAUUAACUAAGGGAUGAUAUUUAUUUGUGAAAAAAAAACAUUUUCCAGUUUUUAUUUUAUUUUGGGAUUUCGUUUUUUAUUUCAUUUGAGUUUUUUCAUGACUGUAUUAUGAGUUAAUGUAUUGUUUUAUUUUGAUGCUGUACAGACUAGACGUUUGUAUGAGGUGCCAUGCGUUGUGACUCUAUCGCUCCUCUCUUCUCUGAUGUGCAGGAGUUGUUUUGAAACCUACACUUAGAAAAAAACGGUUCCAAAAUGGAUCUUCGGUGGUCCCUAUAGGAGAACCCUUUUUGCUUCCAGGUAGAAAGUCUUUUGGGUUCCAUGUAGAAAGAACCCUCUGUGGAAAGGGUUCUAAAUGGAAUUCAGAAGGGUUCUACCUGGAACCAAAAAGGGUUCUUCAAAGGGUUCUCCUAUGGGGACAGCCAAAGAACCCGUUUAGGCACUAGAUAGCACCUUUUUUUCUAAGAGUGUACAAUAGUGUGAAUGAAGAACCGUACUAUAAAAAGACAGACUUCCAUUCAGGCAGCCAAAGCAUGAUUGCAUGGUAAACUCAUCUGUUAAAGCAGACACAGUUACAGAAGUUGUCUCAAACAUUUUAAAGGAAAAGUGUAUUCUCUAAUCAUAAUUCUUAAAUUAUAUUCUUGUUAUUUAAAUAUUAUCAUUAUUAUAUUUAUAAUUAACAUUAUUCUUAAGCUCUCUGCUAAUUGCUCUUGCGUUUUGCUGAUCCUUGUUUGGUCUCAUUGUGCUUUAUUUUGAGAGGUGAACUUACCGGAGACCUCGUGCCAUAUGGUUUGUGCCAUGGUUCUCUCUCGGACUCCUUUAUUACACAAACUGUAAGCAUGCCCCAUGGGACAAACCACUUUUUUACUCUUGAAUAAAAUAUGCAUGAACCUUUGGCAUACUUCUGUUUAUGGCCUGUCUCACGUCAGAGUUAGACGUUCAUCCAUGUUUCUCACACAUCACAUUUCAAAGUUGUUCCAGUUCCAAAUGUCAAAGUGUUUAAGGUCAGGCAUUAACUCUGAUUUUUAAAGGUUUCUUUUGCUGGAUUCGAACAUGCAACCUUCUGAAACAGAGGCAGAUGCUUACGCAUCCCCAUGCACAACGCCCUACGAAACCUACCUGAAGGUAACAGCGUUCACUGUUGCCCCUAGUGGCCGGUUUCCACGUCAUCUCCCCACAUCCUCAGACAUGGAUGGAUGUCGAAUUCUGUCUUUUAUCAUGGCUGAUCUGACUGGUUUAUUAACUCCUUCAUACACAGACAAACGCAUACAGAAAGGCACCCACAUGUAGACACACACACACACCACAGGCUCUUCCUGACAUAAUAGGGUCGGGGUCCAAUCCAUCAAGGGG